rnacentral:rRNA from 1 species
UGGGGAAUAUUGCACAAUGGGGGGAAACCCUGAUGCAGCGACGCCGCGUGAACGAAGAAGUAUUUCGGUAUGUAAACCUCUUUUGAUUGGGAACAAAGAGCGCCACGUGUGGUGCGUUGCGUGUACCUUUCGAAUAAGCAUCGGCUAAUUCCGUGCCAGCAGCCGCGGUAAUACGGAAGAUGCGAGCGUUAUCCGGAUUUAUUGGGUUUAAAGGGAGCGUAGGCGGGCUGUUAAGUCAGCGGUCAAAUGUCAGGGCCCAACCUUGGCAUGCCGUUGAUACUGGCGGCCUUGAGUUCACACAAGGAAGGUGGAGUUCGUCGUGUAGCGGUGAAAUGCUUAGAUAUGACGAAGAACUCCGAUUGCGAAGGCAGCCUUCUGGGGUGUUACUGACGCUGAGGCUCGAAAGUGCGGGAAUCAAACAGGAUUAGAUACCCUGGUAGU